AUUGAACGCUGGCGGCAUGCCUUACACAUGCAAGUCGAACGGUAACGCGGGGCAACCUGGCGACGAGUGGCGAACGGGUGAGUAAAGUAUCGGAACGUGCCCAAUAGUGGGGGAUAGCCCGGCGAAAGCCGGAUUAAUACCGCAUGAGACCUGAGGGUGAAAGCGGGGGACUCGCAAGAGCCUCGCGCUGUUGGAGCUGCCGAUAUCAGAUUAGGUAGUUGGUGGGGUAAAGGCCUACCAAGCCGACGAUCUGUAGCUGGUCUGAGAGGACGACCAGCCACACUGGGACUGAGACACGGCCCAGACUCCUACGGGAGGCAGCAGUGGGGAAUUUUGGACAAUGGGCGCAAGCCUGAUCCAGCCAUGCCGCGUGCGGGAAGAAGGCCUCGGUUGUAA
rnacentral:rRNA from 1 species